rnacentral:rRNA from 1 species
ACUCCUACGGGAGGCAGCAGUGGGGAAUAUUGCACAAUGGGCGCAAGCCUGAUGCAGCGACGCCGCGUGAGGGAUGACGGCCUUCGGGUUGUAAACCUCUUUCAGUACAGACGAAGCGCAAGUGACGGUAUGUACAGAAGAAGCACCGGCCAACUACGUGCCAGCAGCCGCGGUAAUACGUAGGGUGCGAGCGUUGUCCGGAAUUACUGGGCGUAAAGAGCUCGUAGGUGGUUUGUCGCGUUGUUCGUGAAAACCGGAGGCUCAACCUCUGGCGUGCGGGCGAUACGGGCAGACUGGAGUACUGCAGGGGAGACUGGAAUUCCUGGUGUAGCGGUGGAAUGCGCAGAUAUCAGGAGGAACACCGGUGGCGAAGGCGGGUCUCUGGGCAGUAACUGACGCUGAGGAGCGAAAGCGUGGGGAGCGAACAGGAUUAGAUACCCUGGUAGUCCACGCCGUAAACGGUGGGUACUAGGUGUGGGUUUCCUUCCUUGGGAUCCGUGCCGUAGCUAACGCAUUAAGUACCCCGCCUGGGGAGUACGGCCGCAAGGCUAAAACUCAAAGAAAUUGACGGGGGCCCGCACAAGCGGCGGAGCAUGUGGAUUAAUUCGAUGCAACGCGAAGAACCUUACCUGGGUUUGACAUGCACAGGACGUGUCUAGAGAUAGGCAUUCCCUUGUGGCCUGUGUGCAGGUGGUGCAUGGCUGUCGUCAGCUCGUGUCGUGAGAUGUUGGGUUAAGUCCCGCAACGAGCGCAACCCCUAUCUUAUGUUGCCAGCGCGUAAUGGCGGGGACUCGUGAGAGACUGCCGGGGUCAACUCGGA